rnacentral:rRNA from 1 species
UGGGGAAUAUUGGACAAUGGGCGCAAGCCUGAUCCAGCCAUGCCGCGUGUGUGAAGAAGGCCUUCGGGUUGUAAAGCACUUUCAGUAGGGAGGAAGGGUGUUGUGUUAAUAGCACAGCAUCUUGACGUUACCUACAGAAGAAGCACCGGCUAACUCUGUGCCAGCAGCCGCGGUAAUACAGAGGGUGCAAGCGUUAAUCGGAAUUACUGGGCGUAAAGCGCACGUAGGCGGUUUUUUAAGUCAGAUGUGAAAGCCCCGGGCUCAACCUGGGAAUUGCAUUUGAAACUGGAAAACUAGAGUGUGUGAGAGGGGGGUAGAAUUCCAAGUGUAGCGGUGAAAUGCGUAGAGAUUUGGAGGAAUACCAGUGGCGAAGGCGGCCCCCUGGCACAACACUGACGCUCAGGUGCGAAAGCGUGGGGAGCAAACA